AAAGAGGCAAACCCUGGGUUUCCGUGUCCAACUUUGACUGUCCGUCUUAUAUGAAAUUUUUUUAUAAUUCGUAUUUUCAUUGUUGUUAGAUAAUAAACAUGAUUAAUAUUUUAUACGUGACUUGUCUUUUUAUUUUUUUUAUAUUUUUUUCAAAUAAGACGGACGGUCAAACGUUAGGCACGGAAAUCAGGGUUUGUCUUUUU
rnacentral:pre_miRNA from 1 species